rnacentral:lncRNA from 1 species
AAAGCAGGCAUGUUUAACUUUUUCUCUCCCUUAAGAGAGAAACACUGGUGGAAAAGUGACAAGAGAGCAACAAGUCCUACUUGCUCAAGAAGAGAAUGACUCAAUACGCAGGAUUAGGCUUAUAGAGCCCAUGAAGCAAAAUGGAACAGAAGGAGCUACACCCAACAGAGCAGGCGGCUGGAGGAGCGGCACAAGAAAGCCUGGGAUAAAGUUGAUUUUCCAUAUCUGGAUGUGUCUGGCAGCAUCAACCAUAUAGCUGCAAACCAGAGUCGAUUUCAGAGCCCAGGGCCUGGCCACACGUGUCCGACACCUAUGAACUUCUUAUGGAGAUUGUUCACCAAGGAGCAUGAAGACAGAGCGGGUGACUGGAGGUGGCUCCCCAGACUUUACUUGUUGAGGAAGAGAACUGUGUUUUCUGCUGCGGAUCUAUUUGAGAAAUUAGAGCAGUGUGGACCAAUUUCUGAUCGUGGUAUUCUUUGGCUCCCUGUUGGAGCGUGUGUUAUGAGAAUGGAGACCAGCAUUCCUCCUCCGGAGCCUGUUCCAGCCCAGCCAAAUUACCCAGGAGCCUGGCACCUGGUCUGCUUGCACAACACAUUUUUAGAGUCUGAGUCACCCUCGGGUUUUCUUCUUGUUAUCACAUUGAAUUCGACUCCAUAGCAUCCUAUUACCUUGGC